rnacentral:lncRNA from 13 species
CUGCGUGGGCGAGCGUCCCUGCGUGAGCAACCCUUCGUGAGCCUCCGUGCAGGAGCGUCACUUCGUGAGCCUCCGUGCGGGAGCGUCCCUUCGUGUCUAUUGAUUAAUUAUUACGCCUUUCAAGCAUGAAUUAACACCUUAUGAUUAUUAUGCCAGCCCAGAAUAUUCAAUAUAAGCUCAGUUUCUACAGCCAAUUUGGUAGGAAUCAAAUCUGAGUUCGCCUCCAGCAGAUUCGGAGGGCACCAGGCCUUCCGCAAUGAUACUUUUGCCUUAUUGGAAGAAGUUUCAUAAUAAUUGCUGGCUCUCACCUAUGGCAACUCAGUUAUUUCCUUCAGAUUUUGACCUCAAGAAAUCCCAGGCAAUAUCAUACUGA